GAUGAACGCUGGCGGCGUGCCUAAUACAUGCAAGUCGAGCGAACAGACAAGGAGCUUGCUCCUUUGACGUUAGCGGCGGACGGGUGAGUAACACGUGGGUAACCUACCUAUAAGACUGGGAUAACUUCGGGAAACCGGAGCUAAUACCGGAUAAUAUUUCGAACCGCAUGGUUCGAUAGUGAAAGAUGGUUUUGCUAUCACUUAUAGAUGGACCCGCGCCGUAUUAGCUAGUUGGUAAGGUAACGGCUUACCAAGGCGACGAUACGUAGCCGACCUGAGAGGGUGAUCGGCCACACUGGAACUGAGACACGGUCCAGACUCCUACGGGAGGCAGCAGUAGGGAAUCUUCCGCAAUGGGCGAAAGCCUGACGGAGCAACGCCGCGUGAGUGAUGAAGGUCUUCGGAUCGUAAAACUCUGUUAUUAGGGAAGAACAUACGUGUAAGUAACUAUGCACGUCUUGACGGUACCUAAUCAGAAAGCCACGGCUAACUACGUGCCAGCAGCCGCGGUAAUACGUAGGUGGUAAGCGUUAUCCGGAAUUAUUGGGCGUAAAGCGCGCGUAGGCGGUUUUUUAAGUCUGAUGUGAAAGCCCACGGCUCAACCGUGGAGGGUCAUUGGAAACUGGAAAACUUGAGUGCAGAAGAGGAAAGUGGAAUUCCAUGUGUAGCGGUGAAAUGCGCAGAGAUAUGGAGGAACACCAGUGGCGAAGGCGACUUUCUGGUCUGUAACUGACGCUGAUGUGCGAAAGCGUGGGGAUCAAACAGGAUUAGAUACCCUGGUAGUCCACGCCGUAAACGAUGAGUGCUAAGUGUUAGGGGGUUUCCGCCCCUUAGUGCUGCAGCUAACGCAUUAAGCACUCCGCCUGGGGAGUACGACCGCAAGGUUGAAACUCAAAGGAAUUGACGGGGACCCGCACAAGCGGUGGAGCAUGUGGUUUAAUUCGAAGCAACGCGAAGAACCUUACCAAGUCUUGACAUCCUUUGACAACUCUAGAGAUAGAGCCUUCCCCUUCGGGGGACAAAGUGACAGGUGGUGCAUGGUUGUCGUCAGCUCGUGUCGCGAGAUGUUGGGUUAAGUCCCGCAACGAGCGCAACCCUUAAGCUUAGUUGCCAUCAUUAAGUUGGGCACUCUAAGUUGACUGCCGGUGACAAACCGGAGGAAGGUGGGGAUGACGUCAAAUCAUCAUGCCCCUUAUGAUUUGGGCUACACACGUGCUACAAUGGACAAUACAAAGGGCAGCGAAACCGCGAGGUCAAGCAAAUCCCAUAAAGUUGUUCUCAGUUCGGAUUGUAGUCUGCAACUCGACUACAUGAAGCUGGAAUCGCUAGUAAUCGUAGAUCAGCAUGCUACGGUGAAUACGUUCCCGGGUCU
rnacentral:rRNA from 1 species